rnacentral:rRNA from 1 species
GGAGGAAUAUUGGGUCAAUGGGGCGGGAGCCUGAACCAGCCAAGUAGCGUGCAGGAUGACGGCCCUAUGGGUUGUAAACUGCUUUUGCGCGGGGAUAAAGUGCGCCACGUGUGGCUCAUUGCAGGUACCGCGCGAAUAAGGACCGGCUAAUUCCGUGCCAGCAGCCGCGGUAAUACGGAAGGUCCGGGCGUUAUCCGGAUUCAUUGGGUUUAAAGGGAGCGCAGGCCGCCCCUUAAGCGUGUUGUGAAAUGCCGCGGCUCAACCGUGGCACUGCAGCGCGAACUGGGGGGCUUGAGUGCGCGCAGCGCAGGCGGAACUCGUGGUGUAGCGGUGAAAUGCUUAGAUAUCACGAAGAACUCCGAUCGCGAAGGCAGCCUGCGGGAGCGCAACUGACGCUGAGGCUCGAAAGUG